rnacentral:rRNA from 1 species
UACAGAGGUCCCAAGCGUUGUUCGGAUUCACUGGGCGUAAAGGGUGCGUAGGUGGUUAGGUAAGUCUAAUGUGAAAUCUCCGAGCUUAACUCGGAAACUGCAUCGGAUACUAUCUAGCUUGAGGGUUGGAGGGGGGACUGGAAUACUUGGUGUAGCAGUGAAAUGCGUAGAUAUCAAGUGGAACACCAGUGGCGAAGGCGAGUCCCUGGACAACUCCUGACACUGAGGCACGAAAGCUAGGGGAGCAAACAGG